GAAGACAAAGAAAAUGGUAGAGAAGUAUGAGACAAAAGGCCAUGUAACGACCCAGUAUUAUGUGUAUAUUAUAUAUGUCCAUUUUAUUUUACUAAUGAAGCAAUAGUUAUAUAAUUUUUAUUUAUUCAUUGGAAAAUUAGGAAUAGGGACGUGACCGGCUUAAAUGCUUCUUGCUACACUAUUAUUCUUAAUUAAUUUUGGGACUAUCAGUAAGUUAUGAUAAUAGAAAUGUCUAGAACAAGAAAUAGGAAAACUUUAUUGUCUUUAAAUUCUCUUAAUUCCUUUUUCUAGUCAAAGUUUAUGUAUAUUUCCUUUUGGUGUGCCACGACUAGGUGGAAGAAGUUUAAUGAAAUUGUUGCACCUCUAUUUUAAUAAUUAAUUUAUUGUUUAGUUUUGACUUAACUUUACAUUAUUUUAUUUAUUCGAUGAUUUAUAUUAUGUGAUGAUCUAUAUUUAACCAAGAUACAUGAGAACUUAAUUAGAAUCAAUUCUUUUGAUUUCUUCCUCAUAAUAGCAUUGGACCAACUUAACUACCAUGUGUUUACUUUCGGUACACAGUGAUGCUAGUUAAUUGGCAUUUAAUUCUUUCAUAAUUUCUUGAGGCCUUAUCAUAAUUCUUUUAUAACCAUUCCUCCUUUCAUUCCCAAAGUGUUUUCACGCCUCCAUACCAUACUCACCUUAUUCAUAAACAAACAACUUUUUCGGUUCUUCUUACUCUGAACUCUUGCAAGAUCAAAAUGAAGUUUUGGAUUCUCAAUCUCUUGAUUUAUAUAAUAUUUUUUCAUUGAUCUUAGAGUCUUCUUCCAUGUUAAGGAGGUAAGGGCUUUUUCCCCAUAUGUUCGUGCUAGGAAUAAGUUUAUGUUAUGAAAUAAAUAUUAGAAUAUUUAACCAUUAAAAAGGUAAUGUUAUGUUUUGUGUUUGAGUUGUUCUUUGAUGUAUGUGUGUGAUUGACUAUGAUUGAGAGGUUCUGUGAUUUAUGUGUGUGAUUGACUGUGAAAUGGAAUAGUGUGUUAGUUUUGAUUCAAGUACUCUAGCACAAUAAAUUAUUGUUAGUUAGUUUGAAGAUAUGUAUCAUAUUUUGAGACAUCCAUCAUGUAGUAUGCAUGGUAGGUGCCUCCGUGGCUGAAUUGUGCCUUCGUGGCUGAACUUUGCCUUCGUGACUGAAUUGUGCUUCCGUGGCUGAACUUUGCCUUCGUGGCUGAAUUGUGCCUUCGUGGUUGAAUUUAUCCGGAUCAUGAGUUUGCAUUUUCAUGCAUAUAAAACAUUCAUUUGUGUUAAAAGAAUUUAAUAUUUAAGUUUUUUUUAUUUCUUUUUAGGGUAAAAUGUUCUAUUAUUUGUUUUAUGACAUUUACUUUCCGUUUGGCAUGUCCCAAUUUGAAUAAGGAAAUUGACCCUUACAUUAAAUAAAUUGUUGUAGGUACCAAAGAAUGAUAAUAUGAAGUUGAUGUUUGAUUGAAGCAUACGCGGGGAAAAAAAUGAGUUUUAUUGAAUUGUAAAUGAAAUUUAAAAUAUUCUUUUUAGUGUACUAUUUUCUUCUGUUAGAAAAUAACAAAUUAUAAACAGUAAAUUUCUAUCAAUUUAUUUAAAUAGCUCGUCUUUCUAUUAGUCUGAUUUCAAUAGUUUAUUUAUAAACCAAAAUAAAAUAUAGUCUCAUAUUUUCUAAAGAAAAUGAAUAUUUUUAAGUAAUGUCUUGGAUCAAAAUCCGAGGCGUUACAGGCCACCCUUCGAUGGUGCAAAGUCUUCACAAAAGAAAUAAGUUGUUGUUCAUGGUCGCGCAACAAUUGUAUCACGACGGAGUUGAUCGAAAGGUUCUGUACAAUCGAACACCACUUAACUCAAUACAAGGAUUUGAGAUGCCCUUGGCGGCAAUGUAAUUGAUUUACAAACCAGUUGAUUUAUAAAGGUUGAUUAUGUCUCUUUUUGCAUUUACUAUUUAUAUUCGAUCAAACUCUGUUCAAUGUGAGAUAGAGGACAAGAGUAUAGGAAGGGGAGAGAUAAAAUAAUAUGUAAGGAAAAUAGGGAGCCAUCUAGGCCACCAUUUGGCAGGGGUCUAAAUGCAAAUGCUCACAACACUCACACAAAAUGAUAGAGGAAGGGGCAUAAGAUUUUUGGAGAGAGAGAGAGAGAGAUUUGUUUGUUGAUUUUAGUUAAAAUGUUUUCUUAUUCUGUUUCUACAAUUAAUUUUAUUCUCUUCAUUUCUUUUGUAGAUAAUGAGAGUGUGAUGUAAGUAGAGAUGAUGAACAUGUCUUAUUUUUUUAUUUCAAACAAAAUGAUUUGGUUUUGGUUUUAUUUUCAAAUAUAACUAUAAGUAAAGAUCCAAUUUGGUUUUGUGAUUUGUACUUUGGACUUAUUUUUUAUUUGCUUUGCUUUUUGUUACUCAAGUAUACUAUUACCCAAGUUCAACAGCUAAACUCAUUUCAAUCUCAAGCAUAGAGUAGAGAAUAAGAACCAUAAGUGGUGGGAGAAAGCUCUAAAGGUAAAUAUACAUGUUCUGAAAUACACUUUAACGAAGUGAUUAUUUAACAAACUUUAUUCUAUGCUAUGAUGUCAAAACUUUAUUCUAUUCUAAUGAAAUGAAAAGUGUUAAAGAAUGAAAAGGGCUAAAAAGAUUAAUUAUGCAUUUGGAAUCACAAUGAGGUUUUAGAAAACGGGUUGAUAUUAUAAUUUUCUUAUGUUUCAUUUAUAUUUCUAUUUUAUUGUGAGCAUCUUGGAUAGUAUGUAUGAAGUGUGUUGAGUGAGAGAUAUGUCAAUUAUCUUAUCUUUAAAAUCAUUUGUAUUAAUUAAUAACAAUUACGGUGUGUUUAAAUCAUCUCUUAUUCUUUUACUAUCUAUUUAUAUUGAUCUCUUUUUUGUUUGGUAGAUAUCUAUUUAUAUCUCUUUAUUCAUAGAGUAGCUACUAUAUUCGAAAUUAAUAUUUUUAUCAAGUUUGAUUUUUUUUUUUAUUUUUUUUAUCAAGUUUGAUCAUUCUUUUAAUUCUAAUAAUUUUCUCCAAGAUAUAUAAAAAAAAACUAAAAAAACUAAAUCAACAUUGAUAUUGGAAAAAAUAUUGUUUAUGUGUUACAUGCGUUAGCGCAGUAGAAAGAGCGGACAGACGGAUACGGGAGUGCCGGUCUGGACGCUAGUACCCAUAAAGAAAAUCCAUCCCUAAAUAGUUUAAUAAAGAUUGAAUAUUCGAAAAAAAUUGAAAAAUGUCAAAACAUAUUUUCAUAGUUUAUUUUCAGAAAUGCAUUCUUUCGAAACUUAAUAAUUUUCCUAUCUCACUUCUCUCUUCUUCCACAACCUCACUUUCCAAUAACCUUCCACCGUCACCAUAUCUUCCUCUCCCCCUUACACCCCAAACGUACAUCGCCAUGAUGUAGCCGCAGACUAUGGUGGUGGAUGAGUUCUUUUGUCUCCAUCAGCUUUUAUGUGACUUUGGUUGUUUGUGGGUUGCCUAGAUAUUUCUUUUGGAUUUUACCACACCCGUUGAUUUGGUAGCUCAUAGGUUCUUUUUCUAGUUAAUUGUUUAAGUUGCCAAUGUAAUGUACGUGGAAUAUGAAAAAAAUGUCCCCGUAAUGAAAAUCAACAUAUAUUCUAUUUCUUAAAUUUGAUAUUUUGUUAGCUCAUAGGUUUUAUUUUUCUAUCAAAAUGUCCCCGUUGAUUUGGUAGCUCAUAGGUUUAAUUUUUCUAUCAAAACUACCAAGUUACAAUUUUGUUCCAAGUAAGUAUAUACUCGUCGGUCCAUCUUUUUUCCCCAAUUUUGUUCAUAACAUCAUAAUAAUCCUAAUCUACAAAAAUUCAUAAUUUAUUUUUUUCUCAUAUAAAAAAAACUCCAUAAAUUCGUGGUAGAGUAUUUUAUGAUGUUAUCGACAUAUCUACUAAAUUGAAGAACGGAAUUUUGGAAGGUGAGUAUAUUAUUACAUGAAACAAAAUAACGAUUUUGCAAGUUUUAGUCGAAAAAUCUAAAUAAAUUACAACAUCUUCAAAAUGUUGUGAAAUUUUUAAGAUAUUUUAUAUGUAUUUUAUAGAGGUUUUUAAAAAAAUCAAUUCAAAAUUCGAUUUCUAGGUUGAGGUUUUCAUUUUUUGUUUUUUGAAUUUUUGGUGCUUUUAAAAUUCAGAAUUAAUUCAUCUCUUAUAAAAAAAAUUCUAAUUUUAUACGGGAGACCUGAUUUUUAAGGAUUUAACUUGGUCUUUUCCUUGUCGAAUCUUCCCGUGUAUUGAUAGAUUCAUGAUUUAUUGAUGUGUUAGAUUGUCAUAGAAAUGGUUAACACAACACCCCUCGGCAAAAUCUAAAUGUCUCUAGUAACACUCACUCGGUGGUAUCCACAAUGUUUAAAUCUUUAGGCUAUGUGGACAUCAAAAACUUGAAGUACCAAUAACUUUUACAUGUGGAUUAAGAUCAAUAUAGAAUGACAUUAAUGUAAGAGUUUGUUGAAUAUGUGAAGGUGUACAUUUAAUUGAAGUUUUGAUUUACUAGAUGUAAUUUGAUAGUUUCUUGUUUAAUUAAAAUGAUAAGUGUGAGAAAGUAGUUAGAUAUCUUGUAUAUUUUAGACACUUUGAUUACUUGUUUUUUUUUUUUGUAAGUUAUUCAAUGAAAAGCUCACAAAUAAUGAAGAUUUAUCAAUUUAUUUUUUGUAUACCUAAUACCAACCUUUUGUGUAGGAAAAUGCAUGCCUGGACAUUAAGAAAGUAAAGAAGCAAGAAGAAAUGUAAAGGUAGGUGAUGAGAGGUCAUCUUACUUUAUUCUUAGCAUGUUUUUCAGUCUAUUUUAGUAGGUUUAAUUUUGCCAGCAAACCAGAGGAAUAUUAGAUCAAUUGUCUAUGAUUUUCGGGACAUUUGUAAUGUUUUCUAUAUUUGAGUUUGUAAUUCUAUUCUUUCUGAAACAUAGCUAUUUUAGGGGGAAAAUCAAGACCUCAGAAGAUUAUUGGACUUUAGGAAUAUAAAGAAUGAAGAUUCAAGAGACCUCAGAAGAGUUUACUUAGGGAAGAAUUAUGUUCAUGCAUGACUCUAGGCGCCUCGCGCAUGUGACUUGUAAAAAAAAUUGCUUUUUGUGAAUUUUUUGCCCCUGGAAGCCCAUGAUUUUAGCCCAAGUAAGGUGUAAACUUUCCCUAUAAAUAAAAGCCUUCCUCAUUCACAAUUUCUCAGAACUGGAGCAGUUCAAGAGGAAGGCUAUUUUAUGGUCCAAUGAGGAGUUUUAUCUUCUCAUAUUUUUUCUAGGGUAUGUUUUUAUCCUUUUGUAUUUCUGUCUUAGUUAUCAUGUGUAACUGAAUAUCUAUAAGUUAGAGUUCUAAGAUGAACCUCUGUUUACUUUUGUUGGAUAAUUAUUUAAUGGUUUAAAUAGGUCUUUCGUCCCUGCAAAUAUGGUCAUUUGAAUUUUCGUCCCCGAAGUUACUAAUCUUUCCAUUUUGCCAUUGCAAAUAUUAAUAAUUUGAAAAAUGGUCCUAAUUACAUCUGAUAAUUAACUUCAGGGACGAAAAUUCAAAUGACCUAUAUUUCCAAAGACGAAAGACCUAUUUAAGCCAACCACCUCGCCCAAUCAUCACUUGGCACAUGGGCACCACGCCGCUAAUGACAGCCCACCUCAGCAAAAAAAAGCUAAUUAUGACCAAAAGUCAAAUGAUUAAAUUUUGCAGUAACAGAUUGGAAUUAUUAGUAACUUCAGGGAUGCAAAUUCAAAUGACCUAUAUUUGUAGGGACGAAAGACCUAUUGAAGCCUUAUUUAAUGUUGUUUUAUUUUAGUAUAUUUUCUGUUCGCAAUUAAGUUUUAUUUAGGAUUAAUUUAUUUUCGUGAGGUGUAUUACUAGAUUAGAUACUUAGGUUGUGACAGUGCUUAACAUUGCUACUAUCAUCUGGAAGCUUAUAUCUUGAUAUUUAUUUCGUUAUACUAGUAAUUAUCUGUCUAGGAAGUAAGUGAUUAGUAAACUAGUGAAAGAUACCGAAAGAGAGUUGACCCUAGUAGUAAGUACUUAGGAGUUGACAUACCUAAUAUUGAGUAAAAUCUAUUGAACCUAGUGAUGACAUCUCGUCAUUACGUAAUUUUCUAUGUAAUUUGAUCACAUUUUGGAGUUCACAACGCAACUUAGAAAAGCAGAAAAACUGAAGAAAUUAAAAUACAAAGAAAGAAAACGUGUCACGAUUUGGUAAAAACAUGACACGAUUUUAGAAGACCAAAACAUACUUUCGACAUUGAGGAAAACGUGUCACGAUGGCAAAAAUGUGACACGAUUUGAGGAAACCCUAAUUCAGCUGUUUGUUAUUCAGUGGAAAACGUGUCACGAUUUACUUAAAACGUGACACGAUUUUGGGCGAAUUUUUAUGCCUAUUUAACUUCUAAUCACGAUAUAAAUGAAAUUGCAGGAAAAUUAAAUUUGGAUGUUAUUUAUGUUAUUGAUAGUGGUAUCGUUGCUUCAAAUGGUAAUGAUGAUAAGAUAAAGGAGAUCAGGGAACCAAUUGAUGAUAGAACCUUGUUUUUAAUAUUUUCCAAAGGUUAUCUUAUUUUUGAGAACGAACUCAGAGAAUUCUUCAUGCGGCACCCAUUUACUAUUCUGGUGAAACAAAUUAUUUACAACAUAAUAUUAUUUUGUUGAAUCUGCAUGGUUUAUGUUGCUUCAUAAAAAUCAUUAACAAAAGUUGAAUGUUUCAUGACUUGUGUUUCCUUUUAUUUCAACUUCAUAGGCUGCAUUAUCAUUUAAAAUAUAAAGUACAAUAUGAGUUGAGUUGACUUAAGUUGAUGUAAAAAAAAAAAUUAUGAUUGUAGAGGUUUAGGAAUUUGGUAUAUUUUUUCCAUUUGGAAAUGUUGUUCUUAACUCUCCAUGGCAUAUGAAAUAUCAUUUCUAGUUUUAUUCAGACCAGAAUUAUGAUAUAGUGAAAUGUGAUAAGUGAUAUAUGUAUUUUUUUUUGAAGGAAUAAGUGAUAUAUGUAUGUGAAAUACUACUUGUGGAUUUUGUGAUGUGUUGAUUGUGAAUUAUGACAAAUAAAGAUUUGUUUUUCUUCAUUGCUGGUGAGAGAACUUUGAGUAAGGAGUGACUCAAGUCAAAUAAGGGGAGCAAGGUAGCGUUAUGACUUAAAAUAUUGGGAUACAUGUCGUCAUCAUAUACCUAGGGUGAUAUGAUCCUGGUAACAUGGAUACAUAACUAUAUUGAGUAUAAUGGGUAGUGAUCUAUUAUGUAAAUCUCAAGGAUAAAAAUAAGGGGAAAUUAUUAAGAGACUUAAGGGAGUACCUAAAUUGUUGGAAGCUAUCGUGAACCCUUUAGUUAUCUAGCGUCACCUAAGGGAUCUUAGGAUGGGUUGAGAAAGUCUAUGAGGACUUGAAUAUUUUUGUCUCUAUUCAAGCAUAGUACAAUUUUCUCAUCAAAUGUACAUAGUAGUUUUAUUAGUGCUAAUCUUGUCUCAUGAGUGUUUAUGCAUUGUAAGGGGACUAUAAGUGUCAAUUUGAUAUGGGAAGUGUUGAGAGAAAAGUGCAAUGUGUGAAUGCAUGCAUCACAAGUGUGUUCCAUAAGUGGAUAUGUGUCUAUUCGUGUUGACUCGUUGUGUUGUUUCUAUAUGUGAAUUAUGGUAGCAUGAAUUACAUUAUGAUGAUCAAUAAUUGUACGUUUAAUAAUGCAACACUGCAUGUAUACUUGUGAAGUUGUUUCUAAGAAGUGACUUAUGUGACUGGUGAUAGAUGUGAAUAUGUAUCAUGCCGAUAAAUGUCCAUAUUUUUUUUUUAAAGUAAAUUACAUUCCCUCCCUUCAAAGAUGCUUGAAUUACACUCCCCUCCCCUUUUAUGUUAAAAUAUACACUCCCCUCUCCUCUUAUUCAAAACAUAUUAGAAAACAUUUCAAUCUCCUCCUUAAGAGAAGUAUGAAUUACAUUCCCCUCCCCUCUUAUGUUAAAAUCUACACUUUACUCCCUCAAUAUAUAUUUUUUUAUUUCUAAUAAUCUAGCAAAAAUAAUAAUAAUCUAACACACUUACGAAAACAAAUAGUAUUGCGUGUCUAUUUUAAUAUAACCAAAAUUUGAAUACAUAUUUUUUCUCUAUUUUUUUCACAAUUUCAUUAACAUAUAGUCUUAAACCUAUUAUAAAAUAUGAAACAACUCAAAAUAAAAUUUAAACAUGUGAAAAAUGACUAAAGACAAUAAAAUUUGGUUAUUUAAAAGUUAAUUUUAUACUCUAAAUUAUAAAAUUAAUAGCAAAAUAUUUAAAUUUUAUUAUCAUUGACAUUUAAACUAUAAAGAAAUGAAUUUAUUUUUCUAAAAUGGUUGUUCAAAAUUAGUAUAUAUCACAAAAAAAUAUUUAUGUUAAAAUAGAUUAAAGUGUAGUGCAUAUUUAAUUAUUAAGGGAUGGGGUUGUAAUUCAAGUAUCUUAUAGGGGAUAAGAGUAUAACUUUUAUUUUUCAAGGGAGAGAAGUGUAUAUUUGAACACAAGAGGGGAGAUGAGUGUAAUUCAAACAUCUUUGAGGGGAGGAGAGUGUAAUUUUCUCUAUUUUUAAAAUGUUAAUCAUAUGAUUAAUCGUUAAUAUGCCAUUUUUUGUCGACGUGUCUCUAAAUGUUAAAUAUGGUAAAUCUUUAUAUAUAUAUAUAUAUAUAAUGAUUAUAAUCAUAUGAUUACUCUAUUUUUUUUCCUCGCAAAAAAAAAAAAAUACAUAAAUCAUUAUUUAAUUUAUGUGAAUAUUUUCAAUAGUUUUCUUAUCUAUGCUUUGUCUUUCAUGAUUUUUGUCUACUCACCCUUUUAUGUUUUUUGUGUGUGCGCUUGCGAAAAUACAAAGUUAUAGGAUUUUCAUCAUAUGAAGUUUCAUUGUCAUUUGCAUUUAGGAGUUACGUACCCUUUGAUUGUUGUUACCCACCAUUUGUUGUCUUCUUACAUAUGCUUUGUCGUUGUCGUUUGUAUCUUCUCGGAGUGAAGGGUGAUGACUUUGAGAAGCUUUAUGUUUGUGAAGGAUGAAAGUUUCAUAGUUAUGGGAUAAUUUCCUUAGGGGGGAAAUUUGAACUCGUUGGAGAAUUUAUUGUCGAAGAAUAUAUAAGCUCAUAGAGAGCUUUUAUUGUAGAGGAAUACUUAAAACUUGCGGAGAGUAUUUAUUGUAAGAGUUGUAUUAUUUGAACAACUAUUUGAUUGACAAUUUUUGGGACAACCAUAAUUUUACAAAGAAAAAGAGGUCUUGACACAAAAAUCAAAGCAAUAGAGAGAGAAAGUAAAUACAUGAUGUGAGUAUGAGAGGAAAAGUUGUUACAAAAGUUGUCAAAAAGUGGUUGUACAAAUAUCAUUUCUCUUAUUGUAAAGUGAAGUUAAGGUCACUAAAAUCUUUUAUUGUAAGAGGAGUGUUACACUCCCUGGGAGUGUUGUGGUAAUUGUCUUAUUUACUGGAGUAAGAAAGGUCUAGUUCGAGGAAAACUUUUUAUUUUUGGGUAAAACAAUUUCAAAGGUAUAUGUGCCGAGGAUGUGUAUCAUGUCAAUGAAUUUCCUUGUUUUUAUGUUCUUUGCAAGAAAUAUUUUGCUAGUGCAAUGUUUCGCUCGCAAGGUGUUGAAGUGUGAGCUGUGUAAGAUGAGACUAUGAUUAUUUGUCACAUCCCUCAUUUAAGAUGUAUUUGAUCCUUACUACGAGGAAGAGAUUGAGUGAACAUGACCUUUGAUCCCCUUCCACCACGUGUUAGGGCUACUUCUUUGCACUUGAUGGCCUAGACUUUCUAGUGCUUUCUUGUGUUGGUACUGAGGAAGAUUCGUCGCAAUUGGAUUGAUCAUGAUGCUUGGGGUUUUGUUAGAUCUCUUGAAGAACCGUUGGAUUGAACGAGUCUUUUUCAACUUGAUCGUUUGAUUGUUAUAUUGUUUGUGGAGUGUUGGAUUGAGGUUGAUAUUCUUUGUUGUCAACCGUUGAGACCACCAUAUUGUUUUGUGGAUGGUUGGACUGGAUGGAUGACUCCCUUGUCCAUCCAAACAUUCUUUUGUUAGAGAGUAUAAAAGAUUUUGGAGGGGUAUUCGAAACACUUAUACAAUCACUUUUGAAGUAUUUUAUGGGUUUUGCAAGAGUACCAAGUAUCAACUUAUCAAAAUCUCUUAAGUUUCAAGAGUUUUACUCUCUUUUUACACUACAGGUUGGUUCUUCUAACCCUCUCUUCUCGACUACAUUUAUAAUGUCAUGUUUGUGUUUAUUUGUCACAUUUUGGCUUUAGUUUAAAACUAUUAGGUUGUUUGUUGAGUGUUUGAUGGUGGUGAUGUAGUUUUCACCGUUGUUGGUAGCGGUGGAAUGACCCACUCACGUUGUUGUGGAUUAAGGGUUAGUACUGUUUUUUUUUUUGUUUUUUUUUAAUACAAAAUGUGUUUUUAGCCUAGAAAGUGAUGAUUUUUGGCACUAAAUUAGACGUGGUAUAUUUUUCCUUCAAGUUCAUAAUAGGUUUGGGACCAAAAACACUGGCAAUAAAACGGAACAUUGUUUUCGUUAGUGUGAUAAAAUAGGACGAUCAAAAGUGCACUUAAUCCUAACUAUUAAUUAGUUUUAGGCAUUCUAAUGUACCAUAGUAUAUGUUUCCUCCUGAAGGCUUGUUUGAACUUUUAUGGUUGUUGUUGUUGUACCUCAUGUUUUUUGUUCAUGCUCUUAUAUUUUCACUUUCAAUUCAGAACUGUUUUUGGACAAAAAUAUUGCGUUAAAAAAUGUUUAUUGUAUUAUGGUACAAAUGUUUAUUUAGGGUGGGUCAUUCGACGAAACUAAAAGAAGACAUUUUAUUUUUAGUGAGUGCUGCCGAUGCCACAUGCUGUGAGCUCGAACAACGCAAAUAUUAGCGUCGGCUACAUAUGAAUACAUUAGCGGUGGAUUAGUGUCGGCUGAAAAAAUGUCGACAUUGAGAGUUAAUUUCGAGGUAUAUGGUGUUGACCUUGAUACAUGUUAAACCAUUUUUCCCAGCAGUGAAACACAUAAUUUACAAUAUUUUAACAUUUUAAACCCCUCAAAGUAAGGAUAAACACCCAGAUCGUCAAGACCAAAUAAAAAGAUCCACUAUAAUUAAGGUUUUUUAAGGAAGAUCCUCUAUAAUUUAACUUCUACCUAACCGACCAAAUCAGUUCUAACUACUGAAUUAUGGCCUAUUUCAACUUAGAUAGACAAGUGAGACACGUAGUUGAUUAUAAUAUUUUGAGUCCAAAUUCCGACAGUCAGUGAUUCUAUCUGAUUCUGGCAACCUUAAUAAAAACAAAUUUCCUUAAAAAAAUAUUAUCCUUCAAUCAGACUUCAUUCAUUAUUUUAUCUUUUGUGAUAGCAUAUGUUACACUUCGUGGCAAAAACAAUAUUAAUUAUAUCUAAGAAUUCAAUUAGUUUUCUCAAAAAAAAAAAAAAAAAGAAUUCAAUUAGUCAGCAAUAAUAAGCGGAUUGUCCUUUCAAAAAUAACACGAGCAACUUCUGAAUAAAUACUAUGUUUUUGUUUAUUACUCUUUCCUUUUCAAAUUAGAUCUCCUUUUUAAGUUUUACACGGUUUUUGUUUUUUUUUUUAAGAAAAGUUUUAUACGGUUAUUAAAUAAUUGAUUAGUAAUAUUAAUUUUAAUUGUAAAAUAUGUUUAAUUUACUAAAACAUCCUUAUUAAUAUACUAAAUCACUCCAUUCGAGGUAACUUGUUGAUAUUGACUUGUGAUCUGAUAGUGUACUCCUCAUUAGCUUAUUAGAAAAAUUGUAGUUAAUGGCAAUUUCGUUCAACAAAAAAAAAAAAAAAAGCGGAAUGUCUCCUUCAAAAAAAAAAAACAAUAAGUAAGCAUGGCAACUUCUAGGCAAUUUCCUAAUAACACGACCAACGUUUUUUUAUUAAAUAUGUUUUUGUUUAUGGUUAAUAGAUCUUUACCCUUGGUAAUAUAGGUUAUUUCUGGUUUUACCUUCUGUAAAAAUUUUAUUAGGGGGGAAAUCAAAACAAAAAUAUUUUACAGGGGUGAAUCAAAAUAAAAAUUUUACAGGGGAAAAUCAGAAAUGACAUAUAUUACAGGGGAUAAAGACCUAUUAACCCUUUUGUUUAUUACUCCUUCUGUUUCAAAUCAGGUCUCCUUUUUAAGUUUUACAUGGUUUUUUUUUCAAGGGAAGUUUUACACUGUUAUCAAACAAAUGAUUAGUAAUGUUAAUUUUAAUGGUAAAAUAUGUUUAAUUUAUUAAAACAUCCUUAUUAAUUUACUAAAUCACCCCAUUCGAGUAAACCUUAUGGUAUUGACUUGUGAUCUAAUAGUGUGCUCCUCCUUAAGUUAGCUUCUUAAAAAAAUUUAUAGAUAAUGGAGUAGUUAUAUGAUAAUAAGGGUAUGUUAAUAGAAAAGAAUAAUAAAUGUCGUGCAAGUUUCGCUCUCUUGGUAGAGGCAAUGUAUAAUAUAUGCGGGGGUCGUAGUUCAAACCUCAAACACUCCACUUCUCUACAUUUAAUAUGUGUGAGCUCCGACAUCUAGACUACUUGACAAAAAAAUAAUAAUAAAUAUUGUAUUAAUAUUAUAAUAGAGACAAAUAAUUUGAGACAAAUCAAAAUAGUAAAGAGUACACUUAUUGUGAGAUGGAGAGAGUAUAAACAUUUUCAAUUUUUUGUUUUAAUUACGCCUUAAAUUUUUCUUCAACUUCCACUCCAAUAAAACUUUUGAAUCACCAUUUAAAACUCAUGUGUAUAAUUUAAAAUCUUUAAUUUUUUUCACAGUCAUAUUUAAUACAUUAUAGAAUUCUCUAUUGCAAAAUUUUAAAUUCUUUAAACAACAAGUGAAUUAAAUAUGAAUUUUUAUGUUUUUUGCGUUUAAAAAUUCAUAUUUCAUUCAUGUUUUUUCUUUAAAAAAAGGUUUUUAUAAUGUUCUAAAUAUUCCUGCAAAAUUAAAAUUUUGAAUGAUACACAUAUGAGUUGACUUAAAAGCAGAAACUAAAAGUGAUGUUGUAAAAGAAAAUCAAAAGUUGAAGUACAUUUUCGUACUAAAAUAUUAAAUAAAAGGUAAUUGGAAGAAAUAUUCAGCUGAAAAGGUGUAAUUCCUAUGUACUCCCUCCGUUCUAAUUUAUAAGCAAAAAAACAUUAAUUUACACUUAUUAAUAAAACUAACACUCAGUGAUUUGAUAUAUGAUUUUUUGUGUUUUUUUUUUAAUAAGUUUCAUGGAAAGAUGUAAAAAUAAUUUUUAUUGGUUAAAAAUUAUGGAGAAAAUAAAAAAGAGAACAAAUUAAAUGCAACUUGCAUUUAAUUUUACAUUGGAAAAGAUGAUUUGUUUGAAAAAAACAUAAAAAUAGCAUAAAAGUUGGUCUUUUAUGCUUAUAAUUUGAGACAAAGAAAAUGAUAUUUUUUUGCUUAUAUUUUAGGACGGAGGGAGUAUAUUUAAAAUAUAUGAAUAAAUAUCUACGUUAAAAAUGGCUAGAUUUAUGAGUUGAUCCAAGAACGCUUAGAUUAUUACAAGUAAAUAUGUGAUUUGCUCCGACUAAUUUUGAAAGACAAAUUUACUUGUGAAAUAAUUCAUAGUAAAUCCGUAGUUAGUAAAAAACAAAUCCCAGCAAGUAUUUAGUUAUUCCAUAACAAACUAGUAUUCAAAAUGUAUUUUUGGCAUAAACAUAACUAUAAUUUAUCAUAGCAAUUUCGUAGCAAAUUCAUAGCUAAAAGUAGCAAAGAAAAUUAAAGGCAAAACCACAAGAAGUUGAGCUUAUACACAUAAGAUCAUCCAUAUUAGAACUACAAUCCAAUUUGUCAAGAACAACAAUUAUGUAGAAAAAAUAAAUGACAUAUAAUUGUUUUAGUUUUAUCUAAAAAGAGUGCCACCCUUGCAGGAUCACAUCCACAGAAACAGUGACAGCAGCAUGGAUGCUGCCUGAACCACAUAGAAUGUCAUCGAUGAACUCAUAAAGUAAUUACCACAACAACAAGCCUAAAUCUACAUAAACAAGGUAACACAAUAAAAAGCUACACAAUUAAUAACUAAGUAAUAGCUAAAACCAAAUUAAUCAUAACUCGAUGAGCUAGUACGGGUGUCAUCUAGCUUAACAAAGGUUUUGAGUUCGAAUCAGCUUUAAGCAUGCAACAACGUCAAAAAUUUUAGGUUUGUUUGCAAGUUUGAAGGGGAAUGAAAGAUUUCUCUAAAAAAUUAUGUGCGAAGGAUACCAAAUUUAAAAUAAAAAAAAUUAAGUUCAUUAUUAGGCAAAACCGUAAUCAAAAUUCUAAAACAAAAAGUGGAGUUUGAUUUUUUUUUUUCUUGAGUGAAGAAGGGAAGCUUGAUGGAACCCAUAUUUUAAGCCAUCAGUGAGUGUAUAUGGUAUUGGUUUAGUAAUUCAGUUUAGUUAGUUUU
rnacentral:lncRNA from 1 species